rnacentral:rRNA from 1 species
GACAGAGGGUGCAAACGUUGUUCGGAAUUACUGGGCGUAAAGCGCGUGUAGGCUGCUCGGAAAGUCGGAUGUGAAAUCCCCGGGCUUAACCUGGGAACUGCGUUUCUAACUGGCAGGCUUGAGUGUGGCAGAGGGGGGUGGAAUUCCACGUGUAGCAGUGAAAUGCGUAGAGAUGUGGAGGAACACCGAUGGCGAAGGCAGCCCCCUGGGCUAACACUGACGCUCAUGCACGAAAGCGUGGGGAGCAAACAGG